ACGAUCCACUGAGAUUCAGCCCU
rnacentral:snRNA from 1 species